rnacentral:rRNA from 1 species
UACACUCCUACGGGAGGCAGCAGUGGGGAAUUUUGGACAAUGGGCGAAAGCCUGAUCCAGCAAUGCCGCGUGAGUGAAGAAGGCCUUCGGGUUGUAAAGCUCUUUUGACAGGGAAGAAACGGUGAGAGCUAAUAUCUUUUGCUAAUGACGGUACCUGAAGAAUAAGCACCGGCUAACUACGUGCCAGCAGCCGCGGUAAUACGUAGGGUGCAAGCGUUAAUCGGAAUUACUGGGCGUAAAGCGUGCGCAGGCGGUUUUGUAAGUCUGAUGUGAAAUCCCCGGGCUCAACCUGGGAAUUGCAUUGGAGACUGCAAGGCUAGAAUCUGGCAGAGGGGGGUAGAAUUCCACGUGUAGCAGUGAAAUGCGUAGAUAUGUGGAGGAACACCGAUGGCGAAGGCAGCCCCCUGGGUCAAGAUUGACGCUCAUGCACGAAAGCGUGGGGAGCAAACAGGAUUAGAAACCCCGGUAGUCCC